GAUGAAGACGCAGCGAAAUGCGAUAAGUAGUGUGAAUUGCAGAAUUCAGUGAAUCAUCGAAUCUUUGAACGCACAUUGCGCCCCUUGGUAUUCCAUGGGGCAUGCCUGUUCGAGCGUCAUUUGUACCUUCAAGCUUUGCUUGGUGUUGGGUGUUUGUCCAUUCUCUUGCAGAGGGACUCGCCUUAAAGUAAUUGGCAGCCAGUGUUUUGGUUUUGAAGCGCAGCACAAGUCGCGAUUCAACGCUAUACGCCAGCUUCCACAAGCCUUUUUCACUUUUGACCUCGGAUCAGGUAGGGAUACCCGCUGAACUUAAGCAUAUCAAUAAGCGGAGGA
rnacentral:misc_RNA from 1 species